rnacentral:rRNA from 1 species
UGGGGAAUUUUGGACAAUGGGGGAAACCCUGAUCCAGCCAUGCCGCGUGCGGGAAGAAGGCCUUCGGGUUGUAAACCGCUUUUAGCUGGGAAGAAAAGAUCACGGAUAACACCCGUGGUUCUUGACGGUACCGGCGGAAUAAGCACCGGCUAACUACGUGCCAGCAGCCGCGGUAAUACGUAGGGUGCGAGCGUUAAUCGGAAUUACUGGGCGUAAAGCGUGCGCAGGCGGUUCGUUGUGUCCGUCGUGAAAGCCCCGGGCUUAACCUGGGAACUGCGAUGGAAACUAGCGAGCUGGAGUGUGGCAGAGGGGGGUGGAAUUCCGCGUGUAGCAGUGAAAUGCGUAGAGAUGCGGAGGAACACCGAUGGCGAAGGCAGCCCCCUGGGCUAACACUGACGCUCAGGCACGAAAGCGUGGGGAGCAAACAGGAUUAGAUACCCGGGUAGUCC